GACGAACGCUGGCGGCGUGCUUAACACAUGCAAGUCGAGCGGUAAGGCCCUUUCGGGGGUACACGAGCGGCGAACGGGUGAGUAACACGUGGGUGACCUGCCCUCAGCUCUGGGAUAAGCCUGGGAAACCGGGUCUAAUACCGGAUAUGACUCCAUGACGCAUGUUGUGGGGUGGAAAGCCUUGUGCGGCUGAGGAUGGGCCCGCGGCCUAUCAGCUUGUUGGUGGGGUGANGGCCUACCAAGGCGACGACGGGUAGCCGGCCUGAGAGGGCGACCGGCCACACUGGGACUGAGACACGGCCCAGACUCCUACGGGAGGCAGCAGGUGGGGAAUUUUGGGCAAUGGGCGAAAGCCUGACCCAGCAACGCCGCGUGAAGGA
rnacentral:rRNA from 1 species